UGCGACCAGGAUAUUGGUCUUGGCUGGGACUCAGCCGGAACCAUGGCGACUUGGAGUGGUGCGACGGAUCAACUACAUAUGACGCCCCGUGGUAUCUUCCGAAAUUUCCAUAUGCCUGCUCCAAAUUGACGACUGCUGCUGAAGUUUACAUAGACACUUGCGAUACCCUUCGUCCAUCCAUCUGUCAAAAAGGCAAGGCCAGAGAUUCUCUUCCGCUUCUCCCAGCGCCGACAUCAACAUCAGGCAAGAGCGCAAAGUGCGGCUGGUGGCAGGAAAACCCCGCCAACGACUUCUGCUACCUGAUCGACUCCAAGGCCACCAAGACCUGGAAGGAGGCGCGAGACAAGUGCGCCCGCCUCAGCGGCAACCUGCUCGGCUUCGCCGACUCGCAGGAACACGCCUUCAUCCAAGGUCUUCUGCCAAACGCUUCCUCUUUGUGGUUGGACACCAACGACACCACGGUUGAAGAUGGCAGCGAGCAGUCGGCCCAAUCCUCAUCC